rnacentral:rRNA from 2 species
UACGGAGGGUGCAAGCGUUAUCCGGAUUCACUGGGUUUAAAGGGUGCGUAGGUGGAGUGGUAAGUCAGUGGUGAAAUCUCCAAGCUUAACUUGGAAACUGCCGUUGAUACUAUCAUUCUUGAAUAUCGUGGAGGUAAGCGGAAUAUGUCAUGUAGCGGUGAAAUGCUUAGAUAUGACAUAGAACACCGAUUGCGAAGGCAGCUUGCUACACGAUCAUUGACACUGAGGCACGAAAGCGUGGGGAUCAAACAGG